CAUAGUCAGGGCCGGAUUAAGAGCAUACUGGGCCUGGUGCUGACAAAUAUGAUGGGCCUAAUUACGGAAUCUUCUCGACCAAAAACACUAAAACAGUCAUACCUCCCAAGCGUCAUGUAUCUGAUGGAGAUGGUGUUAGAAGGAAAAUCAAAGGAUGCAGCUAUAUGAAAACACAUACUCUAUGCUAAUCUCUCUCUAAUUUAUGUUUUCAUCUUUCAAGUAAAUCCAUAACCCCUAACAGCAGUGUCCAGUGAAAUAGGAAGUCAAUGGGCGAGGUAAAAGGGUGUGCCACUGGUGCAAAUCACGUGACCAGACCUGCCAAAAGGGGUGAACAUGCCCAGAAAGGGGGCAUGUCUGUCCAAAGAAUUUGAAGGACAGCCUGGCAUGAAUGCAUGUCAGGCUGCCCGCCAAUCCUGCAGGCUGUCCAACUAAGGGCAUACUAUGCAGGCAGCACCAUGAGCUUGACAUAAAUGCAUCUAAUAAUGCGCUCACUCCAUGCUUUCUAAGGACUGUCCCCUAGCACACGCUGGUCCACUUGUCUCCUUACCUUCUUACUAGCAGGCAGAAGUUCCUGGUAUAUAGUCUGAGACAGAGUAAAGGUGUAUGUAGUGAGUGUAGUGUUUGUAGUGAGUGUAGUGUAUGUAGUGAGUGUAGAAGAAAGGGGACAUGCCACAGUGUUAGAGAGACCAGCGUCUGCAUUACCUAAACUAAUUUUAUUGACAGCUAGUCCACACAAGUUUUGUUCCCAUACAUCCCUCUUAAGCUUCCAAACUUAAAGGGACACUAUAGUCACCAGAAGAACUACAGCUUAUUGUAUUUGUUCUGGUAAGUAGAAUCAUUCCAU